UACGAAGGGGGCUAGCGUUGCUCGGAAUCACUGGGCGUAAAGCGCACGUAGGCGGCUUUCUAAGUCAGGGGUGAAAUCCUGGAGCUCAACUCCAGAACUGCCUUUGAUACUGGAGAGCUUGAGUCCGGAAGAGGUGAGUGGAACUCCGAGUGUAGAGGUGAAAUUCGUAGAUAUUCGGAAGAACACCAGUGGCGAAGGCGGCUCACUGGUCCGGUACUGACGCUGAUGUGCGAAAGCGUGGGGGAGCAAACAGG
rnacentral:rRNA from 1 species